UACGUAGGGCGCAAGCGUUGUCCGGAAUUAUUGGGCGUAAAGAGCUCGUAGGCGGCUUGUCACGUCGGGUGUGAAAGCCCGGGGCUUAACCCCGGGUCUGCAUUCGAUACGGGCUAGCUAGAGUGUGGUAGGGGAGAUCGGAAUUCCUGGUGUAGCGGUGAAAUGCGUAGAUAUCGAGAGGAACACCAGUGGCGAAGGCGAGUUCCUGGACAAGUCCUGACGCUGAGGCACGAAAGCCAGGGGAGCAAACAGG
rnacentral:rRNA from 1 species